GAUGAACGCUGGCGGCGUGCCUAAUACAUGCAAGUCGAGCGAACGGACGAGAAGCUUGCUUCUCUGAUGUUAGCGGCGGACGGGUGAGUAACACGUGGAUAACCUACCUAUAAGACUGGGAUAACUUCGGGAAACCGGAGCUAAUACCGGAUGAUAUUUUGAACCGCAUGGUUCAAAAGUGAAAGACGGUCUUGCUGUCACUUAUAGAUGGAUCCGAGCUGCAUUAGCUAGUUGGUAAGGUAACGGCUUACCAAGGCAACGAUGCAUAGCCGACCUGAGAGGGUGAUCGGCCACACUGGAACUGAGACACGGUCCAGACUCCUACGGGAGGCAGCAGUAGGGAAUCUUCCGCAAUGGGCGAAAGCCUGACGGAGCAACGCCGCGUGAGUGAUGAAGGUCUUCGGAUCGUAAAACUCUGUUAUUAGGGAAGAACAUAUGUGUAAGUAACUGUGCACAUCUUGACGGUACCUAAUCAGAAAGCCACGGCUAACUACGUG
rnacentral:rRNA from 1 species